GAGGGUGUAGCUCAGUGGUAGGGUGCAUGCUUAGCAUGCACAAGGUGCUGGGUUCAAUCCUCAGCACCUCCA
rnacentral:tRNA from 1 species